AUGGCUUACGGUGGAUACCUUGGCAUUCAGAAGCGAUGAAGGGCGUGACUACCGACGAAAUACUAUGGUUAGCUGGAAGUAAGCUUUGAUCCAUAGGUACCCUAAUAAGUCAACUUCUUGUACUAUUUACUGAAUUUAUAAGUAAAUGAGAGCAAACCUGGUAAAUUGAAACAUCUUAGUAACCAGAGGAAAAGAAAGCAAAAGCGAUUCCCUUAGUAGCGGCGAGCGAAAAGGGAACAGCCUAAACCACUUUAAUGAGUUCUAGUGGGGUUGUGGGACAACUAUAAUAGUAUUAAAUACUAGAUGAAAUAAUUGGAAUAUUAUAUCAAAGAAGGUGAUAAUCCUGUAAUCGAAAGUUUUUAUAGCUAAAGUUGUAUCCCAAGUAGCAUGGGGUACGUGAAAUCCCGUGUGAAUCAACGAGGACCACCUCGUAAGGCUAAAUAUUACUGGAUGACCGAUAGUGAACUAGUACCGUGAGGGAAAGGUGAAAAGAACCCCGGGAGGGGAGUGAAAUAGAACAUGAAACCGUAAGCUUACAAACAGUGGAAGAAUGACUAAACGUUUAACCACGUGCAUGUUGAAGAAUGAGCCGACGACUUGUAGGUAGUGGCAGGUUAAGAUUAGUUAAAUUGGAGCCAUAGUGAAAGCGAGCUUGAAUAGAGCGUUUGUCACUAUUUACAGACCCGAACCCGGAUGAUCUAGCCAUGGCCAGGGUGAAGCUUAGGUAACACUAAGUGGAGGUCCGAACCGACUGAUGUUGAAAAAUCAGCGGAUGAGUUGUGGUUAGUGGUGAAAUGCCAAUCGAAUCCGGAGCUAGCUGGUUCUCCCCGAAAUGCGUUUAGGCGCAGCGUUUGAUGCUUUAGCUUAGGGGUAAAGCACUGUUUCGAUGCGGGCCGUGAGAAUGGUACCAAAUCGAUGCAAACUCUGAAUACUAAGUGUGUAGUCAAUCAGUGAGACAGUGGGGGAUAAGCUUCAUUGUCAAAAGGGAAACAGCCCAGACCACCAUCUAAGGCCCCUAAAUAUAUACUAAGUGAUAAAGGAUGUGGGGAUGUAUAGACAACCAGGAGGUUUGCUUAGAAGCAGCAACCCUUUAAAGAGUGCGUAAUAGCUCACUGGUCAAGUGAUCCUGCGCCGAAAAUGAAAGGGACUAAGUAUAUUGCCGAAGAUGUGGGAUGUUUUACAUCGGUAGGGGAGCGUUCUGUAUUAGGUAGAAGCGUGAGCGAGAGCGGACGUGGACAAAUCAGAAGCGAGAAUGUCGGCUUGAGUAGCGAAAACAUUGGUGAGAAUCCAAUGCCCCGAAAACCUAAGGUUUCCUCUGGAAGGUUCGUCCGCAGAGGGUGAGUCAGGACCUAAGGCGAGGCUGAAAAGCGUAGUCGAUGGAUAACAGGUUAAUAUUCCUGUACUAUUUAUUAUUGGUAUCGAGGGACGAAAAAGGCUAAAUCAGCCGGAUGUUGGUUACCGGUUUAAACUUUUAAGGUGAUGAUAAGUGGGGAAAACAUUUUGAGCUAAAGAGUGAAUACAAGGUACUCAAGUACUAAAGUGAUUGAUGCCAUAUUUCCUAGAAAAGCUUGUAAUAUCUAGAAUAAUAAAUACCUGUACCAUAAACCGACACAGGUGGGUAAGUAGAGAAUACUAAGGGGCGCGAGAUAACUCUCUCUAAGGAACUCGGCAAAAUAGCCCCGUAACUUCGGGAGAAGGGGUACCCUAUAUAGGGUUGCAAUAACUAGGCCCAAGCGACUGUUUAUCAAAAACACAGGUCUCCGCUAAGUUGUAAGACAAUGUAUGGGGGCUGACGCCUGCCCAGUGCCGGAAGGUUAAGGAAGUUGAUAAGCCAUAGAGUGAAGUUGAUAACUGAAGCCCCGGUGAACGGCGGCCGUAACUAUAACGGUCCUAAGGUAGCGAAAUUCCUUGUCGGGUGAGUUCCGACCCGCACGAAAGGCGUAACGAUUUGGGCACUGUCUCGGAGAGAGACUCGGCGAAAUAGACUUGUCUGUGAAGAUGCGGACUACCUGCACCUGGACAGAAAGACCCUAUGAAGCUUUACUGUAACUUGAAAUUGGAUUUGAGCCUAUCUUGCGCAGAAUAGGUGGGAGGCUAGGAUUAUGUACUCUUGGGUAUGUAUGAGCCAAAAGUGAGAUACCACUCUGAAUAAGCUAGAAUUCUAACUUUGAUAGCCGUUAUCCGGCCAGAGAACAGUUUCAGGUGGGCAGUUUGACUGGGGCGGUCGCCUCCUAAAAGGUAACGGAGGCGUGCAAAGGUUCCCUCAGGCUGGUCAGAAAUCAGUCGUAGAGUGCAAAGGUAUAAGGGAGCUUGACUGCGAGACCUACAAGUCGAGCAGAGACGAAAGUCGGCCUUAGUGAUCCGGUAGUUCCAAGUGGAAGGGCUAUCGCUCAACGGAUAAAAGUUACUCUAGGGAUAACAGGCUAAUCUCCCCCAAGAGUUCACAUCGACGGGGAGGUUUGGCACCUCGAUGUCGGCUCAUCGCAUCCUGGGGCGGUAGUACGUCCCAAGGGUUGGGCUGUUCGCCCAUGAAAGCGGUACGCGAGCUGGGUUCAGAACGUCGUGAGACAGUUCGGUCCGUAUCCGGUGUAGGCGUUAGAGUAUUGAGAGGAUUUCUCCUUAGUACGAGAGGACCAGGAGAAACACACCUCUGGUGUACCAGUUAUUGUGCCAACUGUAAACGCUGGGUAGCCAAGUGUGAAGUGGAUAACCGCUGAAAGCAUCUAAGUGGGAAGCCCACCUCAAGAUGAGUACUCUCUCUGUAAUAACAGAUAAGAUCAUGGUAAGACUAACCGUUUGAUAGGCAUCAGGUGUAAGUAUAGUAAUAUGCUCAGCUGAGAUGUACUAAUAGAUCGAAUGCUUAAUUA
rnacentral:rRNA from 1 species